GGACUACUGGGGUUUCUAAUCCUGUUUGCUCCCCACGCCUUCGCGCCUGAGCGUCAGCCGUCGGCCAGGGCACUGCCUGCGCCAUUGGUGUUCUUCCGGAUCUCUACGCAUUUCACCGCUCCACCCGGAGUUCCAUGCCCCUCUCCGACGCUCAAGUCGCCCCGUCUGGAAGGACCUCUCCCGGUUAAGCCGAGAGCUUUCACCCCCCACGCGGGCGACCGCCUGCGCGCCCUUUACGCCCAGUAAUUCCGGACAACGCUCGUCUCCUACGUAUUACCGCGGCUGCUGGCAC
rnacentral:rRNA from 1 species